CAAUAGCGUAUAUUUAAGUUGUUGCAGUUAAAAAGCUCGUAGUCGGAUUUUGGCUGAGAACGAACGGUCCGCCGUUAGGUGUGCACUGUUUGGUCUCAGCUUCCUGGUGAGGAGGUGUGCUUCACGGCCACUUAGUCACCGUGGUUACUUUGAAAAAAUUAGAGUGUUCAAAGCGGGCUUACGCUUGAAUAUAUUAGCAUGGAAUAACACCAUAGGACUCCUGUCCUAUUUCGUUGGUCUCGGGACGGGAGUAAUGAUUAAGAGGAACAGUUGGGGGCAUUCGUAUUUCAUUGUCAGAGGUGAAAUUCUUGGAUUUACGAAAGACGAACUUCUGCGAAAGCAUUUGCCAAGGAUGUUUUCAUUGA
rnacentral:rRNA from 1 species